UAGUGCAUAAUCGCCCAUCUUCUCACUUGCUCAAGACAGGUUCAAACACUAUCAGUGUCGCACAUCAGUGACGUAACUUUACUGAUUGGCUGGAGAAGGGCAGUAGGUUGAGAAGCAGUGGACCAAUGGGGACUUUUAUUCCGCAUCUUGGAAAGAACACAGAAAACUGAAGCGCGAAUAAACAGAAAAUUAAAUGAUGAACAAAAAGUAGCAGAAAGAACAAACAUCUGAGUAAAACAGCCUGUGAGAAGACUGUUUCUGUGAUGCAGCAUGUCAUUAAGAGGACUAUCGCCUACGCCAGGGAGGCAGCAGGUCCUGACCCGAGGCCGAGCCCUGCACAGUUGGAGUUGCAGACAUUGAGGAUUCUACCAUAACUGUUAAUGCUAUUGUGCUCUAGGGUUUCACUUCCAGCCUCCUCUGGGCUGUGGCUGAGUCCUGACACACAACAGAUAAUUCACAUUUCAGAAAACACAAACACAUUAUUGUGUAGAGUAUGAAAGACACACAUGUAAAAUCACGGGUCAUCCAAAUACUAACUAAAGCCAUGUUGGUGUUUGUGUUCGACUUCAGUACUGUAUGAGAACGACACUGUUGUUUUUAAUGUUCUAAUAGAAUAAUGUGAGUGAAAGGAAGUGCUGAUCAGGGAUUGCUGUAACCAGUUGGUCAGUUGUAUGCUGCUACAAUGGAGGACUUUAAUUUAAAGGCCACAUUAUUAGGAUGCCACUACAAUAUAUUCACAACAGUUUCUCAGUUACAGCAACAGACUGUUAAGACCGUUAGACACCACAUCCUUAUCAGGAACAUGGCAUGACACCAAAUCCUAACUUCUGUAUUUCACUUUUACAUUCAUCAUGAAUAGUCUAAUGUUUCACUAAUAAUGUUAGUCUAGUUUCUAGGGAAAUAUUAGAGACUUAAUUUAUCAAAAUUUAUCAAAAUAUUCAGUAGCAAAAGUGGCUUAUGGAAAUUAUGUUUUUGGGGAAAAAUUUAUUGAUUUUUAAUGAGCACCGGCAGUCAGAGGGCCAGUACUAUCUUACAUAUAACAUGUUAAGUUUUGCACUUCUCUUGAGAAAGAUUGGUCUUAUGAAAUUUGCUUCAUGAUUUACAAAAUAGUUUUGUACACAAUCUGGUUUCUUACCUUAUUGUGGAAAAUGUGUUAGUAUGUUCACAAGCUAGUAAUUAAGUGAUCAUGUGUCUUUUUACAAGUAACUGCUGAAUUUAUAAUAUAAAUCAAUCAAUUAACUGUUAAUUGUAAUUUAUUAAGAAAAAAAUAUUAAUUUUAUUAAUAUUUUUCUUAGCAAAUACAUUAACUAUCUGCCUUUCAUUUGUGUUUAUUUGCUGAUCCACGAGGUGACUAAAGAAAAUAAAGAUUUUAAAUAAAGGUAAUGUUCUUGAGAAAUACACAGAAUUUGUGUUAUUCCUGUGAGCUACCACUGUAUCACCUAAUUCACAUGAACAGUUUACUUAUAAGGGUGAAGAAACAAAGUGUUGUACAAAUGUAAAAUAGAAAAAUUGAUAAACUGUAAAAUGCAGCAUUGAAAUAUGCAU